AUGGGGGCUGCGAGGCGACCUCAGCGUGUGCCCAUGGCCAGGGCGCUCCAGGGUGUCACGCCAGGGAGGCUCCACGCCUCUGCAGGGCACCCCAUGCCUUGGAGCUCCCUCACGGCCACGUCUGCUUUUCAGGGCAAACUGGACACCUUGUGUGACUUUGUUCAGUGCUGCAAUCAGAUGCCGUUGCUGUGGUGUCAGCCCAGGAGCAAGCGCCGGUGCUUCAACUUCAGCCUCCAGCCCUGCAGGCGCCUGCCCUGUGGCCCCAGGAUCUGCCUCCCGGCCCCCCAGGAGUGCUUCCCCCUCAGCAGCUGCUGCUCUCGGUACCAGCCCACCCCCCGCAUCUGCUCCCGGCUGCCCUCCAGGAUGCUGCCCCCGCCCCGCGCCCUCUGCGGAACCGCUCUGUCACUCCCGCCCCCGUAGCCCAGCCUCCGACACACCAAACCCCCAAGAUUAUUAAGAGCCCUUUGUGCACUAAAUUAGACACCUGUAUUGAGUCUUGGUUUACAGUCAGCGGAGCUGGAAUUAGUUGCUGUUCCGCACAAGCCUGUUGCCUGCAGAGCAUCGCUCCGCUGUCUGUAGUGCUGCUGCGGGGACACGGCUCCCCCCGCCCCACGGCCUGUGACGCCGGGGGUGGGGGCCAGAUCCUGCUCUUCGAAAAAAAAAAAAGCCCCCAACGUCUCUGAAAUAUGAAUAUGAUGCUGUCUCCUUCUCUAACGUUAUGCAGAGUUUGACUAGUCUCACCUCCUUCACGGCACGUUCCCAGGUAGCCGGGGUGGGUGUCCCAUGCCCUGAAUGUGCCCUAGACGGAGACCAGCACGGAAAGCUCUGCGGCUGCCAGGCGGCAACUCCUUGCAGACACCCUGAGGUGUCGCUGAGCCUGUAGAGCUGCCCCUGCCGUCCCACCAGUCCUCCUACCCCCUGUUGACAGGAGAUGAAAGUCCCUCCGCCUUCACCCUCCCAUCCUGGCUGGUCGUAGUUACGGUUCCGGGUGGAAUUCCUGGAGAUGAGUGUAGGUCACUAUGUCAGGCUGGGGUUUGUAGUCUGUAUGGGGUUGACGGUCAUUCUUUAAGAAAUAAAAGGUUUUCUGGUAAGGCUGGUGUGUGCGUG
rnacentral:lncRNA from 1 species